rnacentral:rRNA from 1 species
GAUGAACGCUGGCGGCGUGCUUAACACAUGCAAGUCGAACGAAGCACUUUAUUUGAUUUCCUUCGGGACUGAUUAUUUUGUGACUGAGUGGCGGACGGGUGAGUAACGCGUGGGUAACCUGCCUUGUACAGGGGGAUAACAGUUGGAAACGGCUGCUAAUACCGCAUAAGCGCACAGCAUCGCAUGAUGCAGUGUGAAAAACUCCGGUGGUAUAAGAUGGACCCGCGUUGGAUUGGCUAGUUGGUGAGGUUACGGCCCACCAAGGCGACGAUGCAUAGCCGACCUGAUAGGGUGACCGGCCACAUUGGGACUGAGACACGGCCCAAACUCCUACGGGAGGCAGCAGUGGGGAAUAUUGCACAAUGGGCGAAAGCCUGAUGCAGCGACGCCGCGUGAGCGAAGAAGUAUUUCGGUAUGUAAAGCUCUAUCAGCAGGGAGGAUAAUGACGUUACCUGACUAAGAAGCACCGGCUAAAUACGUG